GGGAAUAUUGCGCAAUGGGCGGAAGCCUGACGCAGCGACGCCGCGUGGGGGAUGACGGCCUUCGGGUUGUAAACCUCUUUCGCCAGGGACGAAGAGCAAUUGACGGUACCUGGAGAAGAAGCACCGGCCAACUACGUGCCAGCAGCCGCGGUAACACGUAGGGUGCGAGCGUUGUCCGGAAUUAUUGGGCGUAAAGAGCUCGUAGGCGGUGUGUCGCGUCGGCCGUGAAAACUUGGGGCUUAACUCUGAGCGUGCGGUCGAUACGGGCAUCACUUGAGUUCGGCAGGGGAGACUGGAAUUCCUGGUGUAGCGGUGAAAUGCGCAGAUAUCAGGAGGAACACCGGUGGCGAAGGCGGGUCUCUGGGCCGAUACUGACGCUGAGGAGCGAAAGCGUGGGGAGCGAA
rnacentral:rRNA from 1 species